rnacentral:tRNA from 1 species
GCGCUCGUAGCUCAACUGGAUAGAGCGACAGACUUCGGAUCUGUAGAUUAUGGGUUCGAUUCCUAUCGGGCGCACCA